GGGUUGUGAGGUUAAGCGACUAAGCGUACACGGUGGAUGCCCUGGCAGUCAGAGGCGAUGAAGGACGUGCUAAUCUGCGAUAAGCGUCGGUAAGGUGAUAUGAACCGUUAUAACCGGCGAUUUCCGAAUGGGGAAACCCAGUGUGUUUCGACACACUAUCAUUAACUGAAUCCAUAGGUUAAUGAGGCGAACCGGGGGAACUGAAACAUCUAAGUACCCCGAGGAAAAGAAAUCAACCGAGAUUCCCCCAGUAGCGGCGAGCGAACGGGGAGCAGCCCAGAGCCUGAAGACACGUGGUAUCCUGUCUGAAUAUGGGGGGACCAUCCUCCAAGGCUAAAUACUCCUGACUGACCGAUAGUGAACCAGUACCGUGAGGGAAAGGCGAAAAGAACCCCGGCGAGGGGAGUGAAAAAGAACCUGAAACCGUGUACGUACAAGCAGUGGGAGCACGCUUAGGCGUGUGACUGCGUACCUUUUGUAUAAUGGGUCAGCGACUUAUAUUCUGUAGCAAGGUUAACCGAAUAGGGGAGCCGAAGGGAAACCGAGUCUUAACUGGGCGUUAAGUUGCAGGGUAUAGACCCGAAACCCGGUGAUCUAGCCAUGGGCAGGUUGAAGGUUGGGUAACACUAACUGGAGGACCGAACCGACUAAUGUUGAAAAAUUAGCGGAUGACUUGUGGCUGGGGGUGAAAGGCCAAUCAAACCGGGAGAUAGCUGGUUCUCCCCGAAAGCUAUUUAGGUAGCGCCUCGUGAACUCAUCUCCGGGGGUAGAGCACUGUUUCGGCAAGGGGGUCAUCCCGACUUACCAACCCGAUGCAAACUGCGAAUACCGGAGAAUGUUAUCACGGGAGACACACGGCGGGUGCUAACGUCCGUCGUGAAGAGGGAAACAACCCAGACCGCCAGCUAAGGUCCCAAAGUCAUGGUUAAGUGGGAAACGAUGUGGGAAGGCCCAGACAGCCAGGAUGUUGGCUUAGAAGCAGCCAUCAUUUAAAGAAAGCGUAAUAGCUCACUGGUCGAGUCGGCCUGCGCGGAAGAUGUAACGGGGCUAAACCAUGCACCGAAGCUGCGGCAGCGAC
rnacentral:rRNA from 1 species